rnacentral:rRNA from 1 species
ACGCUCGACACCUACGGAGGCAGCAGUGGGGGAUAUUGCACAAUGGGGGAAACCCUGAUGCAGCAACGCCGCGUGAGGGAAGAAGGUUUUCGGAUUGUAAACCUCUGUCCCCGGGGAAGAUAAUGACGGUACCCGGGGAGGAAGCUCCGGCUAACUACGUGUCAGCAGCCGCGGUAAUCUGAGCGGGCUGGCAAGGC